ensembl:misc_RNA 7SK 7SK RNA
GGAUGUGAGGGUGAUCUGGCUGUGACAUUUGUCACCACAUUGAUCCCCAGGGUUGAUUGGGCUGAUCUGGCUGGCUAGGUGGGUGGCCCCUUCCUUCUACACAGCUCCGUGUGCAUCCCUCCUGAAGCUGUGUGCUUGGUCGAAGAAGAUGAUCUUCCCCAACAGAGGAGGACCUUUCCUUGUUCACAGGUGUACAAGUAGCUCCUGCUAGAACUUCCAAACAAGGUUCAUUUGUAGGAGAAUAUAGAACAGUCAAGACUCCCAGACUUCACAUCCAGAAUGAGGUGUUGCAUUUGGCAGUUUCUGCUUUUU